GUAUACAUCGCUCAUUCUUAGUUCCCACAGGAAGAGUGUGGCUAAGGACAAAGAGUGGUUGUAGCUAGCAGGAGUUUCUUGAGCAGAAGGAAUGAAAGCAACGGUAUUAGGAGUUAUCCCCCCAGUGUGAGGAUUUUCAAAGCAUAUACCGGCUGGAGAAACUCCAACCCAAACUACUAUCUGGGCCAGAACCCUUGCUUCAGGCAGGUUUUGCCUCCUCUGAAGACAGAGUUGCUACUUUCUAAGAAGUGGUGUUGUUUUUUGAAUCUGGGAUUUUUUUAAAGGACUUUAAGAAGUCCACAGUCUUCAAUGUAAAUCCUGAGCGGCCACUGUACUGGCAAGAGGAGCUUCAAAGGUACCCCACAGAACAC